AACGGCGAGUGAAGAGGAAAGAGCUCAAAGUUGGAAACUGUUUGGCUUAGCUAAACCGUAUUGUAAACUGUAGAAACAUUUUCCUGGCACGCCGGAUUAAUAAGUCCUUUGGAACAAGGCAUCAUGGAGGGUGAGAAUCCCGUCUUUGAUCCGAGUAGUUGUCUUUUGUGAUAUGUUUUCAAAGAGUCAGGUUGUUUGGGAAUGCAGCCUAAAUUGGGUGGUAAAUCUCACCUAAAGCUAAAUAUUUGCGAGAGACCGAUAGCGAACAAGUACCGUGAGGGAAAGAUGAAAAGAACUUUGAAAAGAGAGUUAAACAGUAUGUGAAAUUGUUAAAAGGGAACCGUUUGGAGCCAGACUGGUUUGACUGUAAUCAACCUAGAAUUCGUUCUGGGUGCACUUGCAGUCUAUACCUGCCAACAACAGUUUGAUUUGGAGGAAAAAAUUAGUAGGAAUGUAGCCUCUCGAGGUGUUAUAGCCUACUAUCAUACUCUGGAUUGGACUGAGGAACGCAGCGAAUGCCUUUAGGCGAGAUUGCUGGGUGCUUUCGCUAAUAAAUGUUAGAAUUUCUGCUUCGGGUGGUGCUAAUGUUUAAAGGAGGAACACAUCUAGUAUAUUUUUU
rnacentral:rRNA from 2 species